CCUACGGGGGGCAGCAGUGGGGAAUAUUGGACAAUGGGCGAAAGCCUGAUCCAGCCAUGCCGCGUGUGUGAAGAAGGCCUUCGGGUUGUAAAGCACUUUCAGUGGGGAAGAAAGCCUUGGGGCUAAUACCCUCGAGGAAGGACAUCACCCACAGAAGAAGCACCGGCUAACUCCGUGCCAGCAGCCGCGGUAAUACGGAGGGUGCGAGCGUUAAUCGGAAUUACUGGGCGUAAAGCGCGCGUAGGCGGUCUGAUAAGCCGGUUGUGAAAGCCCCGGGCUCAACCUGGGAACGGCAUCCGGAAUGGUCAGGCUAGAGUGCAGGAGAGGAAGGUCAAAUUCCCGGUGUAGCGGUGAAAUGCGUAGAGAUCGGGAGGAAUACCAGUGGCGAAGGCGGCCUUCUGGACUGACACUGACGCUGAGGUGCGAAAGCGUGGGUAGCAAACAGGAUUAGAUACCCGGGUAGUC
rnacentral:rRNA from 1 species